CGGCCACCGGAACCCUGUUUCCAGUUGAUGGAGAAUUGACACUGUUUGCACACCACCCACGGGUUUAUUUGUUUAACCAGUGAUAUUUGUAGGGGCAAUGGAAAUUCAUUGAAUUCGUAGGUUGGAGUUAGGUCAUGGAACAACGAGCAGGCAAAAUAAAAUUUGUUUCUAAGGACAACGACUACGAUUGCAAAGAGAUAUAAGGCGAUUCGAAUAUUGCCUCUGUCCAGGUAUAAGAAAUAUUCCGAGAAACGAUGGUUUAUUAUGUAAAUGGCAGAAUGGUUUCAUGGCUUCAAAAAGAAACUUUAUACCUAAGUCCAGACGGAAGAAAAAAUACAUAAUAAGAAGCAAAGUAUCGGAGAGAUCUUUGCAACGCUCUUUCAUAACUACAAUUUAAACGAUAAAAUUUAAUUAUGUAAAUUGAGAAGAGACUGGCUUGAAAUGAAACGUUACGUAUG
rnacentral:misc_RNA from 1 species